CUCUUGCGUAUGAUGAAACCAUUAACGGAUGUAACGAGCAAUGCUCGAUUGUCCGAGAGCGCUUAAAGUCGUGUGGAUAACCCGUUGCCUUCCUUCUGACUACACGC
rnacentral:snoRNA from 1 species